CUACGGGUCGCACCAGUGAGGAAUAUUGCACAAUGGAGGAAACUCUGAUGCAGCAACGCCGCGUGGAGGAUGACGCAUUUCGGUGUGUAAACUCCUUUUAUAUGUCAAGAAAAUGACGGUAGCAUAUGAAUAAGCACCGGCUAACUCCGUGCCGGCAGCCGCGGUAAUACGGAGGGUGCAAGCGUUACUCGGAAUCACUGGGCGUAAAGGACGCGUAGGCGGGUUGGAAAGUCAGGUGUGAAAUCCUACAGCUUAACUGUAGAACUGCACUUGAAACUUCUAAUCUAGAGUAUGGGAGGGGGAGAUGGAAUUAGUGGUGUAGGGGUAAAAUCCGUAGAUAUCACUAGGAAUACCUAAAGCGAAGGCGAUCUCCUGGAACAUUACUGACGCUAAGGCGUGAAAGCGUGGGGAGCAAACAGGAUUAGAUACCCUUGUAGUC
rnacentral:rRNA from 1 species